AUCUAGCCAAAAUCUUCCCUUGGAAGCAAGAACUUUCGGGUUGACAUCCCGAGGAGGAGUUUUAGUUGGUAGGCGCUUUAGCGAAUCCGACACUACUUCACUUCAGGGGGUGUCUUUUGAAGACUUCCCUUCCUCGAGGAUA
rfam:Agrilus planipennis Contig34592, whole genome shotgun sequence.